GAUUCUAUUGUCUUGGGACCAGUAACAAUAAAAAACCACAAUUAUUCCAAUAUAUUAGAAUAAGCACAAAUUAUAUCUUAUAAUUAAUCACCUUAUAAGGUAAUUAUAAUACCUUAUUAUGUAUGAAUACUUUAUAGGUAUUAAUUGUUAUAAUGUAUGAAUACUAGCUAGUAGAUGUUUGAAGUUUUACUGUGAGGGAUUCAAGAAUAGUUUAUUUCAAAAUAGAGUUUACAAGACAGGGUAUCUUUUAUUAAAUUUUCACAUAAAAAGAAAAAGUACACAGGGCACUAAUUACGAGUAACACCACAAUUAAUUGGGCCUCAUUCCUCUGUAAAGAAUAGGCAAGCAACGAGUCAUUUUAGUAACAUUUUUUCCUGGUCUUUUACUUUCUGUAUCCUCUUUUCUUGAUUUCUGAUCAUUGAAGACAUUGCUGAAAAUGUUGAUAAAACAGUUAGAAUAACAAAAUCUACUUAGGCUUUAAUUCUACUAUGUGCUACUUAAAAGAUCAGCUUGAUAGUAUAGAAUAGACAUGUUCUGAGCUCAAGACAUUCUUAAAAAUUGUGAUGUAGCAUAUUUUUGAAAAGGUUGGUGUUAUGGAAGAGAGCUAAGGGUAAAUCUUUAGUGUUUCAGGUGUUUUAUUUACUUAUUUAUUUUGUAGAGACAGGGUCUCUCUAUGUUGCCCAGGGUGGUCUAAGACUCCUGGCCUCAAGCAAUCCUCCUGCCUCGGUCUCCCAAAGUGUCAGGAUUACAGACAUAAGCCACUGUGCCCAGCCUCAGUUGUUUUAAAUGGGCAUGAUAAUUGUAAAAGUAAUACUAAUUGUAAAUAAUUCAAACACCUCAGAAGGACACAAAGAUAGAUGAAGGUCAGUCUUUGUCUCUGCUCCCUCAAUCUGCUGGAAUCUGCCUCCGCCCAAGAGGUCAUUACCAUAAGCAAUUUGGUGAAUAUCUGCACAUAUACAUGAAUGUGCACAUGUUUUAUUCUUUACACAAAUGAAAACAUAUGCUAUAGACUGUUCUGUAGCUUCUUUUUCAUAUAACAAAACGUCAAUAAGUUUCCAGUUCAGCUUAUGUUUUGUUGUAACUGCAUAGUAUUUACUAGUAUUUCAUUAUACAAAUGUAUUAGAAUUUAGUAAACAGACUAAAAAAGGUUACAUCCUUUUUCUAAAC
rnacentral:lncRNA from 1 species